ensembl:miRNA
GUGGUACCUGAAGGGAGGUUUUCUGGGUCUCUGUUUCUUUACUGAGGAUGAAACACACCUGGUUAACCUCUUUUCCAGUAUCAA